GGAAACAAGAGCUAGACUACCUGCUCGUGAUCCCAGGAGGCUAAUGGAACAGUGAUGUAUCGCGGUUCCUGCCUCGUGAAUUUGGAAGCAGGAUUCUGCUCCUAGACAUCUUCUCCUAUGGAUUUCUCCUGGGCAAGAAUGGCAUCUCGGUGCAGGACCCGCAGCACUUUCUCUGGCUCCGCAGACCCGUAAUGAGCCUCCAGAACCUCAGGCUUGGUUUUCUCUGUCUUCAGCAUGUGGAUCACAUCUUCUCUGGCCUGUAAUAGAAAGUGCAGCAAGAUCAGACGACUGACAAUAAUUAUUUCAAACACACCAGUAAAGCCAGAGGUAAAACAGCCACUGAGCUGGUAAUAAUCAUGGAAAGAGGCUGGGUGUGGUGGCUCACACCUGUAAUCCCAGCACUUUGGGAGGCCGAGGCAGAUGGGUCACCUUAAGUCAGGAGUUCAAGACCAGCCUGGCCAAACAUAGUGAAACCCUAUCUCUACCAAAAAUACAAAAAUUAGCCAGGCGUUGUGGCGUGCGCCUGUAGUCCCAGCUACUUGGGAGGCUGAGGCAAGAGAAUCUCUUGAACCCAGGAGGCGGAGGUCACAAUGAGUCACAGUGAGCCAAGAUUGCGCAACUGCACUCCAGCCUCGGCGACAGAGGGAGACUCUGUCUCAAAAGAAUAAUAGAGAU
rnacentral:antisense_RNA from 1 species